GAUGAACGCUGGCGGCGUGCCUAAUACAUGCAAGUCGAGCGAACGGACGAGAAGCUUGCUUCUCUGAUGUUAGCGGCGGACGGGUGAGUAACACGUGGAUAACCUACCUAUAAGACUGGGAUAACUUCGGGAAACCGGAGCUAAUACCGGAUGAUAUUUUGAACCGCAUGGUUCAAGAGUGAAAGACGGUCUUGCUGUCACUUAUAGAUGGAUCCGCGCUGCAUUAGCUAGUUGGUAAGGUAACGGCUUACCAAGGCAACGAUGCAUAGCCGACCUGAGAGGGUGAUCGGCCACACUGGAACUGAGACACGGUCCAGACUCCUACGGGAGGCCGCAGUAGGGAAUCUUCCGCAAUGGGCGAAAGCCUGACGGAGCAACGCCGGGUGAGUGAUGAAGGUCUUCGGAUCGUAAAACUCUGUUCUUAGGGAAGAACAUAUGUGUAAGUAACUGUGCACAUCGUGACGGUACCUAAUCAGAAAGCCACGGCUAACUACGUG
rnacentral:rRNA from 1 species